CUGGCAAAGAACUCCUCGUAGGAGGAGCAGGAGAAGGGUCGUCACUGCUGUUUCCACGUUGGUCGCCUGUACUGGACUUAUCAGGGUUAUCUUCCAUCUGCAGUUUCUUUGCAGGCAUUUCUUUAA